UAGAGAUUAGCUUAAUUGGCAGAGCAUUCGUUUUACACGCGAAGGACAUGAGUUCAAAUCUCGUAUCUCUAA
rfam:Kluyveromyces lactis mitochondrion, complete genome.